CCCAGACUCCUACGGGAGGCAGCAGUGGGGAAUAUUGCACAAUGGGGGAAACCCUGAUGCAGCGACGCCGCGUGAGCGAAGAAGUAUUUCGGUAUGUAAAGCUCUAUCAGCAGGGAAGAAAAUGACGGUACCUGACUAAGAAGCCCCGGCUAACUACGUGCCAGCAGCCGCGGUAAUACGUAGGGGGCAAGCGUUAUCCGGAUUCACUGGGUGUAAAGGGAGCGUAGACGGCGAGACAAGUCUGGAGUGAAAUGCCGCAGCUUAACUGCGGAACUGCUUUGGAAACUGGCGAACUAGAGUGCGGGAGGGGUAAGCGGAAUUCCUAGUGUAGCGGUGAAAUGCGUAGAUAUUAGGAGGAACACCAGUGGCGAAGGCGGUUUACUGGACUGUAACUGACGUUGAGGCUCGAAAGCGUGGGGAGCAAACAGGAUUAGAUACCCCCGUACGU
rnacentral:rRNA from 1 species